GAAAAAGUGAAAUCUUUUCAUGUUUUAAUUAAUACAAUCUUGUUGGCAACCCUAUGAGGUAGUGAUUAUUAUCAUCCAAAUUUUACAUUUGGGGAAACAGAGGCACAGAAAAGUUAAGUAACUUAUAUGGUGCAGCGCUAACAGGUGUGUAGUUUGGAUUACAAACCUUAGUAGUUCAGAAUCAUAGUAUGCUCAGAUUCUAUGAGGAGGGAAGCUUAUAGUGUAGAAGAUCCUUUUUAACAAAUAUAAUACAAAAUUACAAAUACAAAAUUAGGCCCAGGACCUUGGCAAGGGUCUAUUCAAGUGAAAGGUCUUGAAACAUAAACUGUACCAGAUUCAUAAGGAAAUCAACCUUCAGCAUAAGCCAUGAACAGAAACUGGUAAGAUAGAGAAGGAUACAAAAGUAUAUAUCAAAUACAAACCCAAUUUGAUUAAAAAAAAGUGUAUAUAUAUAUAUGCACACAUUAAGAAAAAUGUAAAAUAUAGAGGAAUUCCUGCCAUGGCGCAAAGGGAUCUGCAGUGUCUUAGGAGCCCUGGGACUCAGGUUCAAUCCCUGGCCCGGCACAGUUGUUUAAGUGUUGCUGCAGCUGUGGCCAAUGUCACAGCUGUGGCUCGGAUCUGAUCCCUGGCCAGGGAACUCCAUAUGCCCUGGGGAGGACAAAAAUAAAUAAAUAAAUAAAUAAUGACAAAACAUAGAUAUGAAAACAGUUUCCAACAGGGAGGUUAUGAAUUUGCUUGUAUUUUGUUCUCUGUACAUUGUUAAUUUUCCAAAGUUUGUACAAUGACUAUAAAUUACUUUUAUAUUUUCAAAAAAAGACAUUCUUUUAACAUGGAAAGAUCUCUUAAACCGAAAAAAUGCUAUUUGAUGAUAGGAGAAAAUAUGUAUUUAAAAAUAUAGACCAGGAAUUCCUAGUGUGGCUUGGUGGGUUAAGAAUCCGACACAGUGUCUGUGAAGAUGGAGAUUUGAUCCCUGGCCUCACUCAGCAGGUUAAGGAUCUGGCGUUGCUGUAAGCUGCAGCAUAGGUCUCAAAUGUGGCUCACAUCGGAUGUUGCCUUGCUCCUGGUAUAGGCUUCAGCUGCAGCUCUAAUUUGACCCCUACCCUGGGAAUUCCACAUGCUGCAGAUGCAUUUAAAAAUUAAUGCAUUAAUGAUUAAUUAAAUAUAUAUUCAAAAUAAUAAGAAAAUCUUGAAUUAAACUAUUUUGUGUAAUAAUCCUACAAAGGGAAGCCUGAUAAUUACAUACAAAAAUGCACAGAGAGCAGAAAAUAAACAAGAAAUUUACUCAAAAUCACAGAAUAUAUCAGCAAAGUGGUAGGGAUAGAAUUUGCAUCUCUUGAUUUUAAAUCUAGAGGAUUCAUGCUGAUUAGUAAAAAGGACUUAAUUCAUAAAAAAAGAAAUUAAUAGUAGUCUCUAAGGCACAGCCUGCUGGCUGCAAAAUAAUGGUCCCAGUAAGGUUAGGUGCUUAUUCAUUGAUAAUAAGAACAUGUACAUGUUUGGUUUUUAAAUGAAUGCUUUAAAAUAUAUAGGUGGUAUCUAUUUAUUUCUGGAUGGAGAAAGAAACUCUAACUGAUAUAAUCAGUAUUCAACAAAAUCCCAUUGCUCAUUAUUACAGAUGUCAGCUCAGACUAAAGGAAAAAGAAUGAUCAACUUGAGAUUUCAAGGAGAGCAAAUUUGAAGUCAUCGUUUUCUCUGCAGUUUUUGGUGGGUGCUAGAUGAACAUUUGGACAGGAUGAUAAAUUGCGUAGUUCUAGGAAUGGUUCUAUAAACAAUUCACAACAACGAAAAUGUAAAAGUCUAGACAACUUCCAAACACCUCUGUCCCUGACCACAUGCUCAAGUUUGCAGGACAAGGCUACGAAAUGGCACAGCCUCCCCAGGUCAUGUCUGAGGAAGAGUUCAUUUCUUAAAUCUGUCGAGGGGAAAUGAACCUCAGCCCUACUUGGGCACCACAGAUAUUUAAUUCACAGGUAACUGUAUUCUUGUAAUGAAUUCAUGAACAAUAGAUAUCUUUUAAUGAAUAUAUAAGCAAUAGAUUAUAGGAACAUAAGACUUCUCAUGUAAGAUAUAAAUACAAGUGAAUUCAUUUAACUUUGAUCUAAAUUUGCUAAAACUUAAUUACAUUCACUUUGCCUGUCAUUUACCAGAUUCGUCUCGAAGAAAAAAAUAUUGAUUUCCUUAAUAGUAUGAUGACUAUUUUACUUUUAUAAUGUCAAUCAAUUGGAAUGCAAUGAGGAAAAACAAUAAUUAUUAAACAUUCCAUAAAGACCAAUGAUUGAGUGCCCUAUCUUUUAUGAAAUUCUACAAUGUAGAGUGUAUGCACCUACGUUUCAUAACAUUAAAAUUAAAUUAACCCCUAACUAAAGGACAUGCUUAUUUUGAUCAAAUGGUAUGGAUAUAUAACUUUUAGAUGCUCUCUCACCCAACUUCUGUAUUAUACAGAUCAUAGGUAAAUAUCCUCAAAAGAAUAGAUGCGGUUAAAUUUAAAAAUUUAUUUGUACUGUAGCCUUAUUAUUUUAGACUUUAUCGGAUAGUGUAUAAUAUUUGUUGGUUUUUAUUAGCUAUGUGUGAAAAAGUGAUAUAUUCCUCAUUUUUAUUCUGAUGUGUGUCAUUAAAAACCUUCCCAAAGCAAUUAGUGACAGUUUUCAAUAAAGUAUCUACAUAUUAGAAACUGGUAAUCUCAACAAAGGGUAGUUUGUUUGUUUUUGUUUUUGCUUUUCAGGGCCCUACCGGUGGCAUAUGGAGUUUUCCAGACUCCAUAUGGAGGUCCAGUCUGAGCUGCAGCUGCCAGCCUCCACCACAGGCAUAGCAGCAUCAGAUCCAAGCUAUGUCUGCAACCUACACCACAGCUCACAGCAACACCAGAUCCUUAACCCACUGAGGGAGUCCAGUGAUCAAACCCGCAACCUAAUGGUU
rnacentral:lncRNA from 1 species